rnacentral:rRNA from 1 species
AUUGAACGCUAGCGGGAUGCUUUACACAUGCAAGUCGAACGAGUGGCGGACGGGUGAGUAAUAUAUCGGAACGUUCCUAGUAGCGGGGGAUAACUACUCGAAAGAGUGGCUAAUACCGCAUACUAUUGUAUCGUCCCAUAUCGGAUUAGCUUGUUGGUGGGGUAAAGGCUCACCAAGGCAACGAUCCGUAGCUGGUUUGAGAGGAGGACCAGCCACACUGGGACUGAGACACGGCCCAGACUCCUACGGGAGGCAGCAGUGGGGAAUUUUGGACAAUGGGCGAAACCCUGAUCCAGCCAUCCCGCGUGUAUGAGAAGGCCUUCGGGUUGUAAAGUACUUUUGGCAGAGAAGCGGUAUCUGCAGAAUAAGCACCGGCUAACUACGUGCCAGCAGCCGCGGUAAUAC